rnacentral:sRNA from 1 species
GACGCCACGGACAUGGUGGCCGAGACCGGUGGGGUGGGGGACGUGUCGCGCGGCCGGGUGGCCUCGGUCGGUACCCUGGGCGCGGAGCAGCUGCCUCAUUAGUAUUCGUACCCACGAGGCGGCGCAGCGGGCCCUCGGGGAGAGCGAGCGUCGCGGCCAUGGCUUAUCACUCGGGCUACGGAGCCCACGGCUCCAAGCACAGGGCCCGGGCAGCCCCGGAUCCCCCUCCCCUCUUCGAUGACACAAGCGGUGGUUAUUCCAGCCAGCCCGGGGGAUACCCAGCCACAGGAGCAGACGUGGCCUUCAGUGUCAACCACUUGCUUGGGGACCCAAUGGCUAAUGUGGCUAUGGCCUAUGGCAGCUCCAUCGCAUCCCAUGGGAAGGACAUGGUGCACAAGGAGCUGCACCGUUUUGUGUCUGUGAGCAAACUCAAGUAUUUUUUUGCUGUGGACACAGCCUACGUGGCCAAGAAGCUAGGGCUGCUGGUCUUCCCCUACACACACCAGAACUGGGAAGUGCAGUACAGUCGUGAUGCUCCUCUGCCCCCCCGGCAAGACCUCAACGCCCCUGACCUCUAUAUCCCCAGUGAGUCUCCAACCUGGGCUGGGGAACGUGGUGGGGUGGGGUCGGGGGGGACUUGUGCCUUGAGGGAUGAAUGGGAAGAGAAGCUCAGCUACUGAGUCAGCAUCUGUUCUUGGUGCUUUGUGUAUGUGUGGCAGUUGCAAGACACCAGGCAGGCAGUGCAGGGUGACCAGUAAGGAGCUUCCUGAAUGUGCCUUCAGUGUCCCCAGGACACCCUUUUGAGACCUUCCUGUCUCUUGAUUUGGACUAUAUCCCUCCCCAGCCUGGAGCUCUGGGUUUAGACCUGGCUUUGCAGACUCCAGCUAUGGGAUUUCAGGCUGGUUAUUUGUACUUUUCAGUAAAACAGGACUAAUGUAGUCCCUACCCCAAAGGACUGUUGGAGAGAUUCAGCAAGGUGAUGUUUGCUCAGCACCUCACCUGGCACACAGGAAGGACGUAGGAAACAUUAACUCUUAUCAUC